rnacentral:tRNA from 1 species
GGUUGUAGCUCAGUGGAAGAGCACUUGCCUAGCAUGCACAAGGUCCUGGGUUUGAUCCCCAGGAUCA